UCUCUGACGGUCUGUGCAUGGCAUGUCGUAAAAAAAAAAAAAAGAAGCGUGCAUAAAUUUGGAGUUGUUGCGGCUAAACAUCCGUCUCAAGCGUUUUUUUAACCAGCGGAGGAUGCAUGAGCGCAUUGUUUAGACCAACCAACAUGUAGAGACCUGCGUAAUCCUUUCUACUCCUGCAGAGCUCAAUCCAAACCUGCACCUGCAGGAACAACCAGUGUAAACCCUUCAAGAACCUGUUUAUUUGGGAAGAAAGCAGGAUAUUCCCACGCUUAUUCCUUUCCAGGGAUCAAACUGCAACAUUUUCAUACAAGUUCCACAAAAAUUUGGACACCUUGACUAUACGAUUGGUCGGUGUCAGACAGGGACAGUGUGGGAUGCAAAUACAGGUCUGUUUGCUUUGUUUUUUUAUUGAACGUCUGAGGCAGACGAGUCAAAAAGGCAAACCAACCUCAAUACCACGAUGCAGACACAAAGUGAAGCCAUCAGCAAACAGACUGUAGCAGGAACUGGAGUUCAGGACAAAGCAGAGUCCAAGCCAGGACACGGGAUGAGAGAUUUAAA